GUCAAAAUCUCAUCACUGCACCCAAGAUCAACACUAGCCAACAACAUUUUAGCCAGUGGUGGAUUAAUAGGAAAUUCUGCCAUUAGUCUUCCUGGUUUAGUCAGAAGCCCCUCCUCAUCCAGACAACCUAGACUAUACAGUUGUUCCAUGGCAGAAACGAGGGCUGGGGAUGAAGGCAUAUCCAUAAAAUCAAAAGAGAAGGGAUCUCUAAUUCCCAUGGCCAUCAUGGUGAGCAUGGUUUCUGCAAGGUUAACCCUUUGGAUUUCUGGAGUUGUAGUAGGGGACAUCUCAUUACGAAAUGCACUCUCAGUGUAUAGGCGGUAGCACUUUCCAGGACCAGUACGCCCAGCACGCCCAGCUCGUUGCUUGGCCGAUGCUUGUGAAAUAGGAGUUAUAACCAGAGAUUCAACCCUUAGCUUUGGAUUAUAAACAUUUUGUUUCAUAAAUCCAGGAUCAAUGACAUAGAAAAUUCCAUCUAUCGUCAAAGAAGCCUCAGCAAUAUUGGUUGCCACAAC
rnacentral:misc_RNA from 1 species